CCUACGGGUGGCAGCAGUGAGGAAUAUUGGUCAAUGGGCGCAAGCCUGAUCCAGCCAAGUAGCGUGAAGGAUGGCUGCCCUACGGGUUGUAAACUUCUUUUAUAAAGGAGUAGAGUGAGGCUCGUGUGCCUUUUUGUAUCUGCUUUAUGAAUAAGGAUCGGCGAACUCCGUGCCAGCAGCCGCGGGAAUACGGAGGAUCCGAGCGUUAUACGGAUUUAUUGGGGUUAAAGGGAGCGUAGAUGGAUUGUUAAGUCAGUUGUGAAAGUUUGCGGCUCAACCGUAAAACUGCAAUUGAGACUGGCAGUCGUGAGUACAGUUGAGGUAGGCGGAAUUCGUGGUGUAGCGGUGAAAUGCUUAGAUAUCACGAAGAACUCCGAUUGCGAAGGCAGCUUACUAAACUGCCACUGACAUUGAUGCUCGAAAGUGUGGGUAUCAAACAGGAUUAGAUACCCCUGUAGUC
rnacentral:rRNA from 1 species